AUCACCUCUCGGUUUUAUGGCUAAGAUCAAAUGUAGUAUGUUUUUACCAGCUUAACAUCUGAUAUAUCCUCUAUCUGAGGACAAGAAAUUAAAUGGGUUUUUGGAGCAGGGGGAUGGAAAAGGAGCUUUCUCCAUCCACUCCUAUGCAUCAACCUGGUAUUGCAGGACCUCCAGGAAUGGUGCAUCACCA
ensembl:snRNA U2 U2 spliceosomal RNA